rnacentral:rRNA from 1 species
AGAGUUUGAUCAUGGCUCAGGAUGAACGCUGGCGGCGUGCUUAACACAUGCAAGUCGAACGAAGCAACUAUCUUGCUUGCAAGAGAGUUGACUUAGUGGCGGACGGGUGAGUAACGCGUGGGUAACCUGCCUCAGUACAGGGGGAUAACAGUUGGAAACGACUGCUAAGACCGCAUAACCCGCUAGUGUCGCAUGACACGGACGGAAAAUAUUUAUAGGUAUGAGAUGGGCCCGCGUCUGAUUAGCUAGUUGGUAAGGUAACGGCUUACCAAGGCGACGAUCAGUAGCCGACUUGAGAGAGUGAUCGGCCACAUUGGGACUGAGACACGGCCCAAACUCCUACGGGAGGCAGCAGUGGGGAAUAUUGGACAAUGGGGGAAACCCUGAUCCAGCGAACCGCCGCGUGAGUGAAGAAGUAUUUCGGUAUGUAAAGCUCUAUCAGCAGGGAAGAUAAUGACAGUACCUGACUAAGAAGCCCCGGCUAACUACGUGCCAGCAGCCGC